rnacentral:rRNA from 1 species
AACGAACGCUGGCGGCAUGCCUAACACAUGCAAGUCGAACGAGACCUUCGGGUCUAGUGGCGCACGGGUGCGUAACGCGUGGGAACCUGCCCUUAGGUUCGGAAUAACUCCCCGAAAGGGGUGCUAAUACCGGAUAAUGUCUUCGGACCAAAGAUUUAUCGCCUUUGGAGGGGCCCGCGUGGGAUUAGCUGGUGGGUAGGGUAAAAGCCUACCAAGGCGACGAUCCAUAGCUGGGUUGAGAGGAUGGUCAGCCACACUGGGACUGAGACACGGCCCGGACUCUUACGGGAGGCAGCAGUGGGGAAUAUUGGACAAUGGGCGAAAGCCUGAUCCAGCAAUGCCGCGUGAGUGAUGAAGGCCGUAGGGUUGUAAAGCUCUUUUACCCGGGAUGAUAAUGACAGUACCGGGAGAAUAAGCUCCGGCUAACUCCGUG